rnacentral:rRNA from 1 species
UGCCAGCCGCCGCGGUAAUACGGAGGAUUCGAGCGUUAUCCGGAUUUAUUGGGUUUAAAGGGUCCGUAGGCGGUCUUUUAAGUCAGUGGUGAAAUCCCAGAGCUUAACUCUGGAACUGCCAUUGAAACUGAAGGACUUGAAUAUGGUUGAGGUAGGCGGAAUACGUUAUGUAGCGGUGAAAUGCAUAGAUAUAACGUAGAACACCAAUUGCGAAGGCAGCUUACUAAGCCAUUAUUGACGCUGAUGGACGAAAGCGUGGGGAGCGAACAGGAUUAGAUACCCUGGUAGUCCACGCCGUAAACGAUGAUUACUCGUUGUGCACAAUACAUCGUGCGUGACUGAGCGAAAGCAUUAAGUAAUCCACCUGGGGAGUACGUUCGCAAGAAUGAAACUCAAAGGAAUUGACGGGGGCCCGCACAAGCGGAGGAACAUGUGGUUUAAUUCGAUGAUACGCGAGGAACCUUACCUGGACUUAAAUGUAGAUUGACCGGCUUAGAAAUAGGUCUUUCCUUCGGGACAAUUUACAAGGUGCUGCAUGGUUGUCGUCAGCUCGUGCCGUGAGGUGUCGGGUUAAGUCCCAUAACGAGCGCAACCCCUAUCGUUAGUUGCUAGCAGGUAAUGCUGAGGACUCUAGCGAGACUGCCACCGUAAGGUGAGAGGAAGGUGGGGAUGACGUCAAAUCAGCACGGCCCUUACGUCCAGGGCUACACACGUGUUACAAUGGCCAGUACAAAGGGCAGCUACCUGGUGACAGGAUGCUAAUCUCAAAAGCUGGUCUCAGUUCGGAUCGGAGUCUGCAACUCGACUCCGUGAAGUUGGAUUCGCUAGUAAUCGUAUAUCAGCAAUGAUACGGUGAAUACGUUCCCGGGCCUUGUACACACCGCCCGUCAAGCCAUGGAAGCCGAGGGUGCCUGAAGUACGUUACCGCAAGGAGCGUCCUAGGGUAAAAUUGGUAACUGGGGCUAAGUCGUAACAAGGUAGC